UACAGAAAUUAAGAUAGAGAGAGUACUCGUUAAAACAAGUGGUGCGAAUGAAAAUGACGUGCAAAGCGCGUAUAUAUAAUGUUUCGAAAAUUAAAAAAAGAAAAAGAAAAUUUCGCUCGCCGAUCUCUCGCCGGUCCGGAGACUGCAAUGGCGGCGAGCGGACCGGCGAGCGCAUCGGCCAGCGCUCGCGGAUCGGCGUGCGCUCGCCGACUUUUUCGCCGAAAUGGAGUUCGCUGAUUACAAUGGUUCGGCGAGCGCCGGAGAUCGGCUAGCCGGUCCGCUCGCCUCCAUUGUGGAUACUCUAAGAUACUAGUACAUUUCUAUUCAUUAUAUAAACUAGUAUUCAAUUAAAUAUCCCUAACACAACCAAAACAGUAAAUUCAAUUUGAUCGGAAUUCUUCGUCGGGAGAAAAAAUAAAAAAAAAGUCCAAAGUUCAUGUAUUUAUAUUCAAACAAAAAGUUCGGGAGAAAAAACAGAAAAAAUUGAACGUUCAUGUAUUUACAGGCAAAUAACACCAUUAAUAAAUGUCGUGAUGGAAAAAAUGAGAAAAAAGAAGAGAAAAAUAUAAAAAAAUCCUUAAUUUAAAAAAUUGAGACCCAUAUUCGAAAUCUCUCGGGAGGGAAAACGCAUGCUAUUUAUGCUCCUGUUUUUGUGUGUUGGAUUCAGUCAGGCCGAAGCGGCUGUUUAUAUUUGUGAAUCCCUACGGAGGGAAUAAAUCGGCACCGAAAGUCAUUCAAAAUGAUGCGAAGCCCAUAUGGAGUAUGUCUAUUCAAGAAGCCAAACACCAAUUGCACGCGAAUGAAGCCGUUCGGACUCUGGAUCUGUCAAAAUUCGAUGGAAUUGUUUGCGUUAGCGGAGAUGGAAUUUCUGGUUGAGUAGGUACUACUAAGUGGACUGCUCAGCUUGGAGGAUUGGGAAAAGGAUACCUCUUGGAGUAGUACCUGAACUGGAAAUGGCAUGACAAGGUCGCUUCUAGAUUCACAUGGCGAACCAUGUGCAACAGUUAAUGCUGCUAUGUUUAUUAUUCGAGGGAAUGACCAUACACUAUGUUAGUGGUAUGUAUGAAUUUUUGGGGUAAAUCAAUACAGGUCUGGUGGCUGAUAUCGAUAUCGAAAUGCUAUGUUAGUGGUAUGUAUGAAUUUCAUACAUACACUAUGUUAGUGGUAUGUAUGAAUUUUUGUGGUAUGCAUGAAUUUUUCAGGGAAGUACAGAUGAACUGGAAGUGCUCAAUUGGAUUUAUACCUAAGUUCGCAUUGAAAUAUUAAUGGAUAACCACAAAACAAAGUAUACUACAUACUAUGUAAUUAUUGCACAGCUCAUGCUAUAAAUUUUUUUAUACUGCAUGUGAUUCAUAUUAUGUACAGGAAAGUGUCGAUUAUUUAUUUCUACGAGAAGAGAUUUUGCAUUUCUGUAUUUGUUUCUAAUGUUUCAGCCAGUUUGGAAAUACUUAGUAGUUAGUACUCAGGGUAUUCCUAAAACUUGCUAUUUCUUCUGCAGUUCUUGUUUUCUAAAUGUGUGUUUUCGUGUUGAAUCUCGUGAUAUCAUCAUCUUAAUUGAAUACAUCCGUGUCUGAGAUAUGUCUUUCUUCACCUAAAAGAAUGAGGCUCUCAUGUGAAUUUUAGGGUCUUCAACGAAUAUUUGGUCUCAGGAGGUACAACGGACAUGUAAAUUUUGUGCCAGCAUCAGGCUAUUAAAUCUUAUGGAGAGCUACCAGAUCUAGAAAAGAAUAUAAUUAUCGAUGAUGAAAGUGCAACGAAAUCUGUGGACGGACUCGUUAGGGAUCCAUCGUAUGGUUACCAGGGUCCUAAAGCUGCCCCUCAUGCUGAGUUUUCAGAUGGUUGCUUGGACCUGAUCAUGAUAAACAAAAGUCCCAAACUACCGUUGCUCAAGUUGAUGAGUGAAUUGAACAGCGAAGGCCAUGUUAAAUCCCCUCAUGUUUCAGAGUUUUGAUAGCCGAUAUCGUUUCUGCCCUUUUAGUCCAUCAGUACCUUUUUUCGUGCAAUAAAACUUUAACAUCUCCUGAUGCAUUAGUUUAUAAUCUCAGCCACAGGCCCACAGCUCAGGCCCACAGGUGAAGGCAUUCAUUUUGCAGCCUCGUCCACGAACUGAUAACGAAGGGUUGGAUCAUAGACGUGGAUGGAGAAGUUUUGGCCCGAGGGUCGAGGGAGGGGAACAUACAAAUGCGAAGAAGAUACAUUGAUGAGAUACGACAGAAGACUCAUUAGAAUUGAUCAAGGUUUGGCUACUUUAUUUGCUCCCAAUUAGCAUAUCUCAAUGUUGUUAAUUUGUUCAUCAUAUGUAUCUAUAUCUGUUUUUGUGACCCUUUUUUUUAUUUUUUAUUAUAGACUCUUUAUAUGGUUUCUAACAUGAGAGAGAGAGGGAGAGGUGUGGUUGGUCACUUGCAAUAGUUUGUUUAAUGAAAUAAAGGUACAUACAAUUUAUUCGA